AGCGAACGCUGGCGGCAGGCCUAACACAUGCCAGUCGAACGAACUCUUCGGAGUUAGUGGCGGACGGGUGAGUAACACGUGGGAACGUGCCUUUUGGUUCGGAAUAACUCAGGGAAACUUGUGCUAAUACCGAAUGUGCCCUUCGGGGGAAAGAUUUAUCGCCAUUAGAGCGGCCCGCGUCUGAUUAGCUAGUUGGUGAGGUAACGGCUCACCAAGGCGACGAUCAGUAGCUGGUCUGAGAGGAUGACCAGCCACACUGGGACUGAGACACGGCCCAGACUCAGACGGGAGGCACCGGGGGGGACUCGGGCGGAAGGGGCGAAAGCCAGACGGAGCCGGGCCGCGGCAAUGAUGAAGGUCUUAGGAUGGUAAAAUUCUUUCACCGGGAAAGAGAACGCCGUGACCGGAAGAAGAACCCCCGGCUAACUUCGGGCCAGCGGCCGCGGUAAUACUCGGAAGCGCACCCGCCUGAAC
rnacentral:rRNA from 1 species